rnacentral:rRNA from 1 species
GGUAGUGUAGUUAACACCUGCAUUAUUUGACGUUACCUACAGAAGAAGCACCGGCUAACUCCGUGCCAGCAGCCGCGGUAAUACGGAGGGUGCGAGCGUUAAUCGGAAUUACUGGGCGUAAAGACGCAUGCAGGCGGCCNGUUAAGUCAGAUGUGAAAGACCCGGGGCGUUAACCUCGGAAUUGCAUUUGAAACUGGCAGGCUAGAGUCUUGUAGAGGGGGGUAGGAAUUUCAGGUGUAGCGGUGAAAUGCGUAGAGAUCUGAAGGAAUACCAGUGGCGAAGGCGGCCCCCUGGACAAAGACUGACGCUCAGAUGCGAAAGCGUGGGGAGCAAACAGGAUUAGAUACCCUGGUAG